CCCAGAGGUAUUGAUUGGUGAGAAUUCCAUACCCACUCUUGCACCAACCUGCGCAGAUGCGCAGGUUUUUUUU
rnacentral:sRNA from 2 species